rnacentral:lncRNA from 1 species
AUUCAUAACACAUUUUUCACUUCUCUAAACUUUUUCAAAUGGCAUGUUAUACUAUUUUCCUUAUAUUUUGCCACUUUAAUUGAAAUUCAGUAUGCUAUACUAAAAUUCAGUAUACGUACAAUACCAACCAUGCGACCAAAUAAAUUUUUAAGAGGAUUAUUUAGCCAAUUAGAAAAUUUUAUGAAGUUAUUUUUUGAAAAAUGUUCGUAAUAAAGUGUAAUUUCCGUAGUGAUGUAUAAUUUUUCAGACCACAGGAUAGCAAAGUGAAAAUUAGCUAAAUCAUAUGAGGUAAAAGUGCAACGUUUUUUUAAAC